rnacentral:rRNA from 1 species
AGCAUAUCAAUAAGCGGAGGAAAAGAAACCAACAGGGAUUGCCUCAGUAACGGCGAGUGAAGCGGCAAGAGCUCAAAUUUGAAAGCUGGCCCCUUCGGGGUCCGCGUUGUAAUUUGCAGAGGAUGCUUCGGGUGCAGCCCCCGUCUAAGUGCCCUGGAACGGGCCGUCAUAGAGGGUGAGAAUCCCGUCUGGGACGGGGUGUCUGCGUCCGUGUGAAGCUCCUUCGACGAGUCGAGUUGUUUGGGAAUGCAGCUCUAAAUGGGUGGUAAAUUUCAUCUAAAGCUAAAUACUGGCCGGAGACCGAUAGCGCACAAGUAGAGUGAUCGAAAGAUGAAAAGCACUUUGAAAAGAGAGUUAAACAGCACGUGAAAUUGUUGAAAGGGAAGCGUUUGCGACCAGACUCGCCCGCGGGGUUCAGCCGGCAUUCGUGCCGGUGUACUUCCCCGUGGGCGGGCCAGCGUCGGUUUGGGCGGCCGGUCAAAGGCCCUCGGAAUGUAUCACCUCUCGGGGUGUCUUAUAGCCGAGGGUGCAAUGCGGCCUGCCUGGACCGAGGAACGCGCUUCGGCUCGGACGCUGGCGUAAUGGUCGUAAAUGACCCGUCUUGAAACACGGACCAAGGAGUCUAACAUCUACGCGAGUGUUCGGGUGUCAAACCCGUACGCGCAGUGAAAGCGAACGGAGGUGGGAGCCCCCUCGCGGGGCGCACCAUCGACCGAUCCUGAUGUCUUCGGAUGGAUUUGAGUACGAGCGUAGCUGUGGGGACCCGAAAGAUGGUGAACUAUGCCUGAAUAGGGCGAAGCCAGAGGAAACUCUGGUGGAGGCUCGCAGCGGUUCUGACGUGCAAAUCGAUCGUCAAAUUUGGGUAUAGGGGCGAAAGACUAAUCGAACCAUCUAGUAGCUGGUUCCUGCCGAAG